rnacentral:rRNA from 1 species
CCUACGGGGGGCAGCAGUGGGGAAUAUUGGGCAAUGGAGGAAACUCUGACCCAGCAACGCCGCGUGAAUGAUGAAGGUCUUCGGAUUGUAAAGUUCUUUUCUAAGGGAAGAAGAAAGUGACGGUACCUUAGGAAUAAGCCUCGGCUAACUACGUGCCAGCAGCCGCGGUAAUACGUAGGAGGCGAGCGUUAUCCGGAAUGACUGGGCGUAAAGGGUGCGUAGGUGGUUUGGCAAGUUAGUAGCGUAACUCCAAGGCUCAACCUUGGAACUACUACUAAAACUGUUGGACUUGAGUGCAGGAGGGGCAACCGGAAUUCCUAGUGUAGCGGUGGAAUGCGUAGAUAUUAGGAGGAACACCAGUGGCGAAGGCAGCAUACCGGCGCUCAACUGACGCUGAGGCACGAAAGCGUGGGGAUCGAACAGGAUUAGAUACCCUUGUAGUC